rnacentral:rRNA from 1 species
GAUGAACGCUAGCGGCAGGCUUAAUACAUGCAAGUCGUGGGGCAGCAGGGUUGUAGCAAUACAAUCGCUGGCGACCGGCAAACGGGUGCGUAACACGUACGCAACCUUCCCGUUACUGUGGCAUAGCCCAGGGAAACUUGGAUUAAUACCACAUAUUAUAUUGAGGGGGCAUCCCUUUGAUAUCAAAGCUUCGGCGGUAACGGAUGGGCGUGCGGUUGAUUAGGUAGUUGGCGGGGUAACGGCCCACCAAGCCUACGAUCAAUAGCUGAUGUGAGAGCAUGACCAGCCACACGGGCACUGAGACACGGGCCCGACUCCUACGGGAGGCAGCAGUAAGGAAUAUUGGGCAAUGGACGAAAGUCUGACCCAGCCAUGCCGCGUGAAGGAUUAAGGUCCUCUGGAUUGUAAACCUCUUUUCUCUGGGGCGAAAACCAGCUAUUCUUAGCUAUUUGACAGUACCAGAGGAAUAAGCACCGGCUAACUCCGUGCCAGCAGCCGCCGUAAGAC